UAGCGGCAGGCUUAACACAUGCAAGUCGAGGGGUAGAAGAAGCUUGCUUCUUUGAGACCGGCGCACGGGUGCGUAACGCGUAUGCAAUCUACCUUUCACAAAGGGAUAGCCCAGAGAAAUUUGGAUUAAUACCUUAUAGUAAUACGACUUGGCAUCAAGAUGUAUUUAAAGAUUUAUCGGUGAAAGAUGAGCAUGCGUCCCAUUAGCUAGUUGGUAUGGUAACGGCAUACCAAGGCUACGAUGGGUAGGGGUCCUGAGAGGGAGAUCCCCCACACUGGUACUGAGACACGGACCAGACUCCUACGGUUAGGCAGCAGUGAGGAAUAUUGGUCAAUGGGCGAAAGCCUGAACCAGCCAUGCCGCGUGCAGGAAGACUGCCCUAUGGGUUGUAAACUGCUUUUAUACAGGAAGAAACACUCGGACGUGUCCGAGCUUGACGGUACUGUAUGAAUAAGCACCGGCUAACUCCGUG
rnacentral:rRNA from 1 species